UACGUAAGGGGCAAGCGUUGUCCGGAAUCACUGGGCGUAAAGCGCACGUAGGCGGUGUAGCAAGUUGGGGGUGCAAGCUCCGGGCUUAACCCGGAAACUGCCUCCAAAACUACUAUGCUUGAGAGUCAAAGGGGAAGCUGGAAUUCACGGUGUAGCGGUGGAAUGCGCAGAUAUCAGGAGGAACACCAAUAGCGAAGGCAGCUCGCUGGGACGUUACUGACACUGAGGCGCGAAAGCGUGGGGAGCGAACAGG
rnacentral:rRNA from 1 species